ensembl:lncRNA
UGUAAAAAGAAAAAAAAAAAACUAAUUAGAUUUAAAAACAGUAGUUUGUUAAGAUAUAUUGUUAAAUGUUAAGAUACAUUGUUAUCAUUGUCUUCUUUGUACCUGUUAAUUUUAUGACUUGAAUGCUAUAUUUUUGCUACGCUGUGAAGGAUUGCAAUGUAGAUUUUGCUUAAUGUUCUCAAAAUAAUUGAGAUUAUUAUUAUAUAUUAUUAUUAUUGUUAUUACUUUUGUUAACAGUUAAACGAGACAAUCAAUAUCAUUCUCAACACUGUAUGGUAAAUGUGAGGCUAAGGACUGCAGUGAUGAAUGCAGCUUAGGCUAAAGACUGAAAGCCGUUACUAGCAAUACCCAGAGUAGUGUUCACUAACAAGUUUGCUUAAUCUAUAAGAAAAAUGUAAAUGUUAGAGUUAUGUCAGAGUUACUUCAAGCAAACAAAUAGUUUCUCCCUGUUUUGCAUAGACCUGCUAGCUAAUUUUAAGUUUAGCCAAACUUUCAAGAUUUAUUUGCGCAGUGUAAAACAUAAAAUGAAACCUAUUUAACAUCUUGAGAGUUCCAGAUCUUAAAUGUCACAUGUUGAGCUUUAGAGGUGUUUGUCAGUAGGCAUCAUUACUGACAUAAAAACAGAAUCAGACUGGCUAUUAUCCUGCUUCUACUCUUUAAGUUAGGCAUCUCUUCACAUAAACUGCAUAUGUCCACAUCACAAGCAUGAGCGUAAUAUUUAACUAUACAAAUAAGAAACAAAAUGCAUUUAUAAAAAUGACGGCCUCAGUUUUUUGCCACAAAUGAGUAAGUAAGACAUUUGGCCUACACUCUCUGCCUCUCUGUACUGGCUGCCUAUGUCUUUUAGAGUUCAUUUUAAAAUUCUCAUGUUUGUUUUUAAAUACCUUCACAAUCUUGCCCCGCCUUACCUCUGUGAGCAUCUUCAUCCCCACACACCCUGUCAGUCUCUCAGGUCAGCUGACCAGCUGCUCCUGGAGGUACCGAGAUCCAGGAGGAAGCUCAGAGGGGCCUUUUCUAUUGUGGGUCCUGAAUUAUGGAAUAAUUUGCCCUUGCAUGUUAGAGAGGCCCCUUCACUGUCCACUUUUAUUCUUUGGCUUUUAACCUCAGUGAGACUUAGUUUCUCUUGUAACUAAAUUAGUUAUUUAAUUAAGUAUUUUACUUUUUCUUUUAUUUGGCUUUUUAUUUAUAUCUUAUGUGACUUUAUUAUAUAGUUCCAAUGUACAGCACUUUGUGUCAGCUGUGGUUGUUUUAAAGUGCUUUAUAAAUAAAGGUGAUGAUGAUAACGCGGGACACCUUUGCGACCUCGCUGGAUUUUUUUUGUGUGCAAUUUUGCAUGCUUUCUUUUUUUUUUCAGUGCAUUGUGUUCUGCGUCCUGACCUGACCUGAAUACAGGGUUUGAUCUUUGGUUUCAUUGUAUAAUACUGGACUUUUUUUUCUACGAAGGUUGGAACUUUGAGAGUGUUUAAAAAAGAGAGAAAAGUGUGAAAAUGUUAAUGCCUGUCUGAGAAAAGUGUAUAAAAUGUGUAGUGAGGGGCUUUACAGCCCUAAAACAUCUGUAAUAAUUGUAAAAAAUAAAGCUGGCUACUUUGUGGAUUUCACCUAUCGCGGAUUAUUUUUAGAAUGUAACUCCCGCGAUAAACGAGGGACCAUUGUAUAUGCAAAUGGGGCUCCUUCUGGAUGAUUCAGAAUGUGGGAUCGUCACGUGGUUCCUUUAGGAGACAGUGCUCAGUUUUUUGUUAAUGUCUGGUCAAUAAAUGCUUUGAUCUAAAGUAGUUUUCACACCACAGUGAAGUGUACAGUAU